UUUACUGCAGGCUGUCGCUGGGACGUGGUCGCUACUGUGCAGACAUAGGUAGGAGCCGCUACACAGGUAUCCGCGCUAGCGGAUCACCGAGGCAUCAGUGAAAUACUACCCGGUAGUGACUGCGACCCUCACUCCUGGCGGAGGACACCGGUAGCCAGGCAGUUUGACUGGGGCGGUACGCGCUCGAAAAGAUAUCGAGCGCGCCCCAAGAUUUCCUCACUCGGGUCGGAGACCCGAGGAAGAGCGCAAGAGCAAAAGGAAGUCUGACAGUGUCCUACACAACGAGGGACGCUGACGCGAAAGCGUGGUCUAGCGAACCAAUGAGGCUGCUUGUUGCGGCCCAUUGAUGACAGAAAAGCUACCUUAGGGAUAACAGAGUCGUCACCGGCAAGAGCACAUAUCGACCCGGUGGCUUGCUACCUCGAUGUCGGUUCCCUCCAUCCUGCCCGUGCAGAAGCGGGCAAGGGUGAGGUUGUUCGCCUAUUAAAGGAGGUCGUGAGCUGGGUUUAGACCGUCGUGAGACAGGUCGGCUGCUAUCUAUUGGGGGUGUUACGAUACUUGACGAGAACGUUCGUAUAGUACGAGAGGAACUACGAAUGGGUGCCACUGGUGUACCGGUCGUCCGAGAGGGCGCGUGCCGGGCAGCUACGCACCACGGGGUAAGAGCUGAACGCAUCUAAGCUCGAAACCCACUUGGAAAAGAAGUAUCACCGAGAUCACUCGUAGAAGACGAGUUCGAUAGGCUCGGGAUGUACGCGCCGAGGCAACGAGGCGUUCAGUCCGCGAGUACUAACAGAUCGACGCCACACAA
rnacentral:rRNA from 1 species